rnacentral:rRNA from 1 species
AGUUCGAUUAUGGCUCAGGAUUGAACGCUGGCGGGAUGCUUUACACAUGCAAGUCGAACGGCAGCACGGACUUCGGUCUGGUGGCGAGUGGCGAACGGGUGAGUAAUGUAUCGGAACGUGCCUAGUAGCGGGGGAUAACUACGGAAAGCGUAGCUAAUACCGCAUACUGCCCUUCGGGGGAAAGCGGGGGACCCUUCGGGCCUCGCACUAUUAGAGCGGCCGAUAUCGGAUUAGCUAGUUGGUGGUAACGGCUCACCAAGGCGACGAUCCGUAGCUGGUUUGAGAGGACGACCAACCACACUGGGACUGAGACACGGCCCAGACUCCUACGGGAGGCAGCAGUGGGGAAUUUUGGACAAUGGGGAAACCCUGAUCCAGCCAGUCCCGCGUGUGCGAUGAAGGCCUUCGGGUUGUAAAGCACUUUUGGCAGGAAAGAAACGGCACGGGGAUAAUACCCGUGCAACUGACGGUACCUGCAGAAUAAGCACCGGCUAACUACGUGCCAGCAGCCGCGGUAAUACGUAGGGUGCAAGCGUUAAUCGGAAUUACUGGGCGUAAAGCGUGCGCAGGCGGUUCGGAAAGAAAGAUGUGAAAUCCCAGAGCUUAACUUUGGAACUGCAUUUUUAACUACCGAGCUAGAGUGUGUCAGAGGGAGGUGGAAUUCAAAAGGUAGGCAGUGAAAUGCGUAGAUAUGCGGAGGAACACCGAUGGCGAAGGCAGCCUCCCGAUAACACUGACGCUCAUGCACGAAAGCGUGGGGAGCAAACAGGAUUAGAUACCCCGGUAGUCCACGCCCUAAACGAUGUCAACUAGCUGUUAGCCUUCGGGCCUUGGUAGCGCAGCUAACGCGUGAAGUUGACCGCCUGGGGAGUACGGUCGCAAGAUUAAAACUCAAAGGAAUUCGACGGGGACCCGCACAAGCGGUGGAUGAUGGGAUUAAUCUGAUGCAACGCGAAAACCUUACCUACCCUUGACAUGUCUGGAAUCCCGAAGAGAUUUGGGAGUGCUCGCAAGAGAACCGGAACACAGGUGCUGCAUGGCUGUCGUCAGCUCGUGUCGUGAGAUGUUGGGUUAAGUCCUGCAGCGAGCGCAACCCCUUGUCAUUAGUUGCUACGAAAGGCACUCUAAUGAGACUGCCGGUGACAAACCGGAGGAAGGUGGGGAUGACGUCAAGUCCUCAUGGCCCUUAUGGGUAGGGCUUCACACGUCAUACAAUGGUCGGGACAGAGGGUCGCCAACCCGCGAGGGGGAGCCAAUCCCAGAACCUGAUCGUAGUCCGGAUCGCAGUCUGCAACUCGACUGCGGAAGUCGGAAUCGCUAGUAAUCGCGGAUCAGCAUGUCGCGGUGAAUACGUUCCCGGGUCUGUACACACCGCCCGUCACACCAUGGGAGUGGGUUUUACCAGAAGUAGUUAGCCUAACCGUAAGGAGGGCGAUUACCACGGUAGAUUCAUGAUCGGGGUGAAGUCGUAACAAGGUAGU